rnacentral:rRNA from 1 species
GAUGAAUGCUGGCGGCGUGCCUAAUACAUGCAAGUCGAGCGAACAGAUAAGGAGCUUGCUCCUUUGAAGUUAGCGGCGGACGGGUGAGUAACACGUGGGUAACCUACCUAUAAGACUGGGAUAACUUCGGGAAACCGGAGCUAAUACCGGAUAACAUUUAGAACCGCAUGGUUCUAAAGUGAAAGAUGGUUUUGCUAUCACUUAUAGAUGGACCCGCGCCGUAUUAGCUAGUUGGUAAGGUAACGGCUUACCAAGGCGACGAUACGUAGCCGACCUGAGAGGGUGAUCGGCCACACUGGAACUGAGACACGGUCCAGACUCCUACGGGAGGCAGCAGUAGGGAAUCUUCCGCAAUGGGCGAAAGCCUGACGGAGCAACGCCGCGUGAGUGAUGAAGGGUUUCGGCUCGUAAAACUCUGUUAUUAGGGAAGAACAAAUGUGUAAGUAACUGUGCACAUCUUGACGGUACCUAAUCAGAAAGCCACGGCUAACUACGUG